CUGGCACAGAACUUUCAGGAAUGAACAGGGGGUGGCUACAGGACUGACAUGGGGAAGCCCCAGUGUUUAACGCAGACAAAUGUUGAUUGGAGUUUGAGCUUCCAGAUGACAUCUGCAAGAAAUUUGCUGAGAAGUUUGUACAGUAAAUUCAACCUGUCAUUCUCUACUGAAAGAUAUGUUCUGGAGAAGCCAAAUGCCCUGACCAUCUGUCUUCAUCUGAAAUAUUUUAGUGUUGGAAUUCCUAAUACGAUUGUAGAAGGGAACUGAGUAAAAUAUAAACUGUCACAGACUU